AUACGUAGGUGGCAAGCGUUGUCCGGAAUUACUGGGUGUAAAGGGCGUGUAGGCGGAGAUGCAAGUCAGGAGUGAAAUCUAGGGGCUCAACCCCUAAACUGCUUUUGAAACUGUAUCCCUUGAGUAUCGGAGAGGCAGGCGGAAUUCCUAGUGUAGCGGUGAAAUGCGUAGAUAUUAGGAGGAACACCAGUGGCGAAGGCGGCCUGCUGGACGACAACUGACGCUGAGGCGCGAAAGCGUGGGGAGCAAACAAGAUUAGAUACCCUGGUAGUCCACGCUGUAAACGAUGAAUACUAGGUGUGGGGGGACUGACCCCCUCCGUGCCGCAGUUAACACAAUAAGUAUUCCACCUGGGGAGUACGAUCGCAAGAUUGAAACUCAAAGGAAUUGGCGGG
rnacentral:rRNA from 1 species